AGUUCGCCAGGCAGGAAGUGCAGUAGCAGGACUCUGGCUUUCCGGAGAGUCUCUGUUUUUCCUUUUUUUUUUUCCCUUUUCGCCCAAUAAAUACCAUUUUUCUCACCCUUCAAAGUGUCUGCAAGCCUAAUAUUUCAUGGAUGUUUGACAAGGACCCCGUCUUUAGCUGAACUAAGGAGAAAGUCCUGCAACACACACAUGGAGCUCAGCAAACGGAGGAUGUAACGCACAUGAAAUUUGGUGCUGUGACUCGGAUUGGGGGACCUCCCUUGGGAGAUCAAUCCCCUGUCCUCCUGUUCUUUGCUCCAUGGGAAAGAUCCACCUACGACCUCAGGUCCUCAGACCGACCAGCCCAAGGAACAUCUCACCAAUUUUAAAUCGGGUAAGCGGCCUCUUCUUACUCUCUUCUCCAAGCUCUCUCACUGUCCCUCAACCACUUUCUCCUUUCCACUCUUCAAUCUUUCCCUUCUCUUAAUUUCAAUUCCUUUCAUUUUCUGGUAGAGACGAAGGAGACACGUUUUAUCUGUGGACCCAAAACUCCGGUGUCGGUCACGGACUAGGGAAGGCAGCCUUCCCUUGGUGUUUAAUCAUUGCAGGGAUGCCUGAUUAUUCACCCAAGUUUCAGAGGUGUCAGACCAUGCAGGGACGCCUGUCUUGGUCCUUCACCCUUAGCAGCAAGUCCCGCUUUUCUGGGGAAGGGGCAAUACCCCAACCCCUUCUCUCCAUGUCUCUACCCCUUCUUCACCUUUCUGGGGGGCAAGAAACCCCCAACCCCUUCUCCUUCACCCUUAGCGGCAAGUCCCGCUUUUCUAGGGGAGAGGCAAAUACCCCAACCCCUUAUAUCUCUGCGCCCCAUCCCUUAUUUCCCCACCCCAACCCCUUAUAUCUCUGUGCCCCGAUCCCUUAUUUCCAUGCCCCAACCUCUUAUAUCUCUGCACCCCAAUCCCUUAUUUCCGCGCCCCAACCUCUUAUAUCUCUGCACCUUUGUGCCCCAACCCCUUCUCUGCUUUUCUGGAGGGCAAGAACUCCCCACCCCUUCUCCGUGUCUCUACUGUUUUCUCUGGGCUUGCCUCCUUUACUAUGGGCAAGCUUCCACCUUCCAUUCCUCCUUCUUCUCCCUUAGCCUGUGUUCUUAAGAACUUAAAACCUCUUCAACUCUCACCUGACCUAAAAUCUAAGCAUCUUAUUUUCUUCUGCAAUGCCGCUUGACCCCAAUACAAACUCGACAGUAGUUCCAAAUAGCCAGAAAAUGGCACUUUCAAUUUUUCCAUCCUACAAGAUCUAAAUAAUUCUUGUCAUAAAAUGGGCAAAUGGUCUGAGGUGCCUGACAUCCAGGCAUUCUUUUACACGUCGGUCCCUCUCUAGUCUCUGUUCCCAAUGCAACUCAUCCCAAAUCUUCCUUCUUUCCCUCCCACCUGUCCCCUCAGUCCCAACCCCAAGCGUCACUGAGUCUUUCUAAUCUUCCUUUUCUACAGACCCAUCUGACCUCUCCCCUCCUCCCCAGGCUGCUCCUCGCCAGGCCGAGCUAGAUCCCAAUUCUUCCUCAGCCUCCGCUCCUCCACCCUAUAAUCCUUUUAUCACCUCCCCUCCUCACACCCGCUCUGGCUUAGUUGGUCUGGCUUAGUUUCAUUCCGUGACUAGCCCUCCCCUACCUGCCCAGCAAUUUGCUCUUAAAAAGGUGACUAGAGCUAAAGGCAUAGUCAAGGUUUAAUGCUCCUUUUUCUUUAUCCCAAAUCAGAUAACAUUUAGGCUCUUUUUCAUCAAAUAUAAAAAACCCAGCCCAGUUCAUGGCUCGUUCGGCAGCAACCCUGAGACGCUUUACAGCCCUACACCCUAAAAGGUCAAAAGGCCGUCCUAUUCUCAAUAUACAUUUUAUUACCCAAUCUGCUCCCGACAUUAAAUAAAACUCCAAAAAUUAAAUUCUGGCCCUCAAACCCCACACCAGGAUUUAAUUAACCUCGCCUUCAAGGUGUACAACAAUAGAAAAAAGUUGCAAUUCCUUGUCUCCACUGUGAGACAAACCCCAGCCACAUCUCCAGCACACAAGAACUUCCAAACGCCUGAACCGCAGCGGCCAGGCGUUCCUCCAGAACCUCCUCCCCAGGAGCUCGCUACAAGUGCCAGAAAUCUGACCACCAAGCCAAGGAAUGCCUGCAGCCCAGGAUUCCUCCUAAGCCGUGUCCCAUCUGUGCAGGACCCCACUGGAAAUCGGACUGUUCAACUCACCUGGCAGCCACUCACAGAGCCCGUGGAACUCUGGCCCAAGGCUCUCUGACUCCUUCUCGGCUUAGCGGCUAAAGACUGACACUGCCCGAUCGCCUCGGAAGCCCCGUAGACCAUCACGGACGCCGAGCUUUAGAUGAAGAAACUGAGGUCCAGAGAAGUUAAACGACCUUCCUAAGAUUACACAGCUUAGUAAGUGGCAGAACCACAGCUGGAAGCCAGGUCCUUCCUCACGCAAGUCCUGGCUCAUUCAUUCCUCUUCCAAAGACUUGCUGAGCACCUUCUAGGUGCCAGAUGCGGUGCUGGCUCCUGGGGACAUGGGAGUGAACAGGCCAGGCGUGGCCCUGAACCAUCAAAUAGACAACCACAGAAAUAACAACGUGAGUUAAAAUGAGAUUAUGAAGAAGAGACACAGGUUUCUACAAUGGUUUAGUAGAGGGAUCUCUAACCAAGUUUGGAGAGUUGAGAAAGUCUCUAUGAGGCAGUCACAUCCAUGUAAGCUAAGAUCUGAAAGACAAAAGUUGUUAUCCAGGAGAGUGGCAGCAGGGAGAGCAUUCCAGAUGCAGGGAAUAGCUUGGCACGUUUGUGGAAGAGAAAAAUCUGUUAACGUGAUUGUAGGGUAGGGUGGAAAAAAGGAGAAAUGGAGCAAGAUGAGGCUAGGGAGGCAGGCAGGGACCAGACUACGAACUGCCUUAAAGCUCUGCUUAAAAAUGUUUGCCACGAUUUGAAGAGUAAUGGGAAGCCUUGAAGGUUUUUAACCAGAAGAGUCUUAUAUUUAGAUUUGUUAUUUUUUAAAUAUCACACUGGCUGCUGUUUAGGAAUGAUGCUGGAGGCUGACGAAGAUAAGGGUGGAAAGUGGGCAAUAAAUCAGGAGCUGUUGCAACAUUCCCAGCAAAGGAUAAUGGUGAAUGUAAUGGCAAUGGGGAUUUGGGGAAGCAGGGGGGCCUCGUGGCUGAUUGGAUGUGGUGUUGGUGAGGGAGGAGGGGUCACAGAUUUCCAUCCUCCCAUGGGUGUUUCUAUCUCCCAGGCUAGGCUUCUUGUGUUUGCUUUCCUUCUUGCAGAACAAAGACAAAACCGGGCCCUUCCACACAGUAGCUGGAACACAAAGGAAGAUCAGCCAAGCCUCAACAUAAUCUCAUAAAAAUUCUUCAAAUAUCCCAUUGUUAUGGAUUCAUACAUCAGGAAAGCAGAUGCCAAGAACCUGAACACCUUCUACUGGUAACAUAUAUUUUGGCGAGCCAGCCUGGAGACAAGGUAGGCCCAAAGUUUGGGAUUUAUUUUUCUUUCCCCUUUUACAUACAGGGAAACCUUUUUCUCUCUCUUUUUCCUUUCCAACUUGGGACCCUCCGUGAUCAGCGCCUAAACAUAGAGACAACUGCAAGUUUCCAGCCAGGGCCACUCUCUGGUGAAACCUACAGGUUUCCAUGUGACGCAUCUGACCACCACCACCCGGCUGGGUGGGCAACCUGAGUCCUUUUCCUUGGUUUUGUUUUUCUGAGUCCUAUUCCUUUCUCCCUUUUACUGAGUUAUUUUUCUUUUUCCUGUUUCGGUCUUUCAGCUACUCCUAGUAGCUCCCGGUUAAUUGAGGACAGCUGGCCGGGGCCACUCUCGGGUGCCUUCUGAAGGCCAAGAAACGAAAAGGGAUGGCUGCCCUGCCCAGAAGGGGGAAGGACUUUUUUCUAUCUCUCCGGUUAGAGUUCCUCAUCCCAACAUGUGACGCAAUUGCUGUGGCAGCUCAUCCAGGGUGAACUCACACAUGUUUCAGACAACUUAAACCUUCUUUCCUCAUGCCAAAUUCUUCCCUUCCUCCAUUCAGCUGUCUAAGGACAAGAUAGAGGGUUCAGAUAUGUCAUAAAUUGUGAGAAUUAGGGAAAUUAACAAAGGGGAUUUAUGCAGGAACUGACGUGUAGGUUUACUGCCCAAAUUUAUAGAGUUAAAGGGUUGCUUUAACUGGGAUAGAAAAUCCUCAAGGAAAAGUUAACAGUAGGUCCUCAGUGGAGGAGGGAACCAUUCCAAAGUGGUGCCGGCACCCAUCUAAGGUUGGAGAUGUGCAACAGACUAAGUCAGACCCUUAAGGGGGAAGCCCUCAGGGACCCCGUGCUGGGCCCAGAAUUUUUCCAGGGGAAUGCCCCGGGUAAAAUUUGGGUCACCUAAUAAACCCUCCACUUUUCAAAGUCCUCUUCUCUUUUCCAGACCACUAUGGGCAACUUCCUGUCUAUUCUACCUGGUGUCACUGUGGACAACUUCCUAUCUAUUCCACCCGAUUCACCGCUUGGCUACAUCCUCCACCAUUGGGAUGAAUUUGACCCUAACAAUCUAAAGAAAAGGCAUAUGAUUUUUUACUGCAAUAUUGUUUGACACAAUUAUGAGCUGCCCAAUCCGGAACAAUGGGCAGUCAAUGGUAGCCUUAAUUAUGAUACCAUCCUGUAUCUAGACCUAUUUUACAAGAGGCAGGGCAAAUGGUCAGAAGUCCCACAUAUACAGGCCUACAUGACCCUAUACGAAGACCUAAGAAUCUAGGAAACUCCCAGAACCCAUCCCCCGAAGGAAAGUUCUGGGGCAGAACUAGAUAUUAUAGAUGAACCCCCUUUUACAAGGGAUACCUGUCUCUCAGAGUGAGCAGUGACUGUCCCCAUAUAACCCCUCACCAAGUGCUCCUGAGGCUGAAACCCAGGGGCAAACAUGGGGAACCCUACUAAGUCCCCCUCACACUUGGAGGGGAACACUGUAUUCAACUCUCUAUCCAGCCCUGCUACUCUCAGAGAAAUAGCAGGGGCUGAGGGGCCAAUCCUAGUGUGGGUCCCCUUCUCUAUGAUUGAUAUACAACAAUGUAAGGAAAAGCUAGGAAGCUAUUCUGAGGAUUCCGGGAAGUUUGCAGAUGGGUUCCAAACUUUGACCUUAGCCUUUGAUCUCUCAUGGAGAGACGUUCAAUUCACUCUAGCAACCUGUUGCACCUCCUCGGAAAAGGAACGAAUCUUUGAGGCUGCCCUCCGAGAAGUGGACGAAUUAUUCACCCAAAACCGUAAAGGCAGUCACCCAGGCCCAGCCACAGUUCCCACUACGCAUCCUAAUUGAGACCAAGACACCCCCGCAGGAAGGAACAACUGGGCUAAAUUUCUUGAGGCUCUUGGAGGAAUGAGAAAGGGAAUAACUAAGGCAGUAAAUUAUGAUAAAGUAAGGCAGAUUACACAAGGCAGGGAGGAAAACCCAGCUGUGUUUUACGGCAGGCUGCGGGAAGCCUUUAAAAAAUAUAUACUAAUUUGGUCCCUUCCUCUCCUGAAGGCAAGUUAUUAAUGGCACAACGUUUCAUUAGCCAAUCCACACCAGACAUUAGACGUAAGCUCCAAAAGCUACACAUGGGGCCACAAACUAACCAAAAUCAGCUUCUUGGUACUGCCUUCAUGGUGUAUAACAAUCGUGACCUGGAGGAAGGAGAAGGGAAACAGAGUAAAGAAAAACGGCAAGCCAAAAUUAUGUUAGCCAUCACUGGUGAUGCCCUAAAUGCACAAAGAUUGUCCAAGGGAAACUCAAAGGGCCAUAAGGAUAAUGCCAGCAAAGGCUCUUGCUUCAAAUGCAAUAAAAGUGCGAUUGGGCACAGGAAUCCACUAAGCCCCCGCCAGUCCCCUGCCGUCAAUGUAAAAGCACCAGUUGUGGCUCCUGGCCCUGGAGAAUUGACUGUCCCUGCUCCCACCAAGGGGCUCAGUCAGUCAAAACUCUGGCAGUGCACAAGGAGGAAUCAGAUGAAGACUGAAGGGGCCUGGGGCCUUCCUCACUGCCCCGUCUAGGAACAUUGUAAUUACUACUGAGGAACCCUGGGUAACUCUGGACAUCAUGGCCACCCAAAUUCAGUUUUUAUGUGAUACCAAGGUGAAUUAUUCUGUACAACUGCUUAUGCAGGAAAACUUUCCUCCCGGUCCAUGAGUGAUAUUGGAUGGAAGGGAAGCCACAAACAAGAUUCUUACUCCUCCUUUGGUUUGUCAAUUUGAGAAACAAAUCUUCCAACAGGAAUUUUUAGUAGUACCAAGCUGCCCAAUUCCCCUGUGGGAAAGAGAUAUUAUGGUGAAAAUAGUGACACUACUGCAAUUUAAGCAAUAUUAGCAGGUGAAACUGCUAAUAGUAAGAAAUAAGGCAAUGUCCCAGACCAUGUCAAUAAACAGGUUAACCCACUGGCAUGGUAUACUGGAAACCCAGGGAAGGCUAAAACAGCAGUGCCAGUCAAAAUACAGCUUAAAGACCCCAGCCAUUUUCCCAAUGGAAAACAAUACCCAGUUGAACAGGAAGCAAGCAAAGGUCUAGCUCCCAUAGUUGAGAUAUUACUUACCCAUGGACUCUUAAAACCCUGCAAUUCUCCCUGCAAUACCCCCAUCUUACCUGUUCUCAAGCCUGGGGGGAAUACCAGCUAGUACAGAACCUCAGAAUAAUGAAUGAGGCUGUUAUCCCCGUCCACCCAUUGGUGGCAGAUCCAUAUGCCCUCCUGGCUCAGGUGCCAGGGCAUGCAAAAUGGUUCUCAGUCCUAGACCUUUCUUCUCCAUUCCUCUGGCCCCGAGCCCCCCAGUACCUUUUUGCUUUCGAAUGGGAAAAUCCUAAUACCAGAUAAAAACAAUACACUUGGACAGUGCUUCCUCAGGGCUUUCGGGAUAGCCCCCACUUCUUUGCCUGAGCAUUAGAGCGGGAUCUGAGGGAUUUCAAGUUAGAAAAUGGAGGUAUUCUUCAGUAUGGGGAUGACCUUGUGUGUAGCCCAACCUAGGAGGUUUCUGACCAAAAUACUAUAAAAACUUUGAAUUUCCUGGCAGACAGAGGAUACAAAGUGUCCAAAAAGAAGGCUCAGAUUACCCUCCAAUGGGUCCACUAUUUAGGAUAUGUCUUAACACCCGGAACCCGGCAAAUAUCCCCAGAAGGAGUGCAAGCUAUAUGUGGUUUGGCCGCGUGCACCACCCCCAGCCCCCACCCUGACCCACCUCCAAGCAGCAGCUUUGUUCCUUUUUGGGGAUGGCCGGGCUUUGGAGAAUAUGAGUACCAAAUUUUGGGCUCAUAGCAAAGCCCCUAUAUGAAGCAACAAGGGGGCCUGAAAAUGAGCUAAUGGAAUGGACCCCGGAAAUGAGGAAAGCCUUUGCCAAGUUAAAACAGGUUCUCACCCAGGCUCCUGCUCUUGGUAUCCCAGACCUAAUUAAGGCCUUCUCCUUGUAUGUAGCAGAGAAGAGGGGCAUAGCUGUGGGAGUGCUAGCCCAGAAAUUAGGAUCAGAACCCAGACCAACCGCCUACUUCUCAAAAAAGUUGGACGGAGUGGCCUCAGGAUGGCCAAGUUGCCUGCGGGCAAUAGCAGCCACUGCUGUUAGUGGAGGAAGCCACUAAAAUCACCCUAGGGCAACCACUGGAAGUUCUAACGCUCCAUCAGGUAAAGUUAGUCUUAGAAAUAAAGGGACACAUCUGGAUGACAGGGGAAAUGUUAACUAAAUACCAGCCCAUGCUCCUAGACAAUCCAGAUAUAACUCUUAAAACCUGCAACACUUUAAAUCCAGCUUCAUUGCUGCCCACAGGCCCAAUAAUUGAUCAUUCCUGUGAGCAGGUCAUUGCACAUACAUAUGUUAGCCAGCCUGAUUUAAAAGAUGAGGCUCUCCCAGAUUCUGAAGCUGACCGGCUCACAGACGGCAGUAGUUCUUUGUCGAAUGGGGAGCACAGAGCUGGAUAUGCAGCAGUAAAUCAUGACACAAUUAUUGAAGCCCAGCCAGUGCCCCCUGGCACAUCAGCACAAAAGGCUAAAAUCAUUGAUCUUACUCAAGCAUUAAUGUUGGGACAAGGGAAAAAACUUAACAUCUAUACAGAUUCUAAAUAUGCAUUCCUUGUGGUUCAUGCUCAUACCGCCAUCAGGAAAGAAAGGGGAUUACUUACUAGCAAGCACUCCCCUAUAGAGCAUGGACCUGAAAUUCUGCAGCUAUUGAAGGCAAUACACCUGCCAAAGGCCAUAGCUAUCAUUCAUUGUAGGGGGCAUCAAAGGGACUUAACCCCUAUAGCACAAGGGAAUGGAAAGGCUGACGGAAGCCAAAGCAAAAGCCCUCAGCGUGCAAUCCCAACAGAUCCUAGCACUGCUUCCUUUCUACAAUUCCCCAGUAGAACCCAAAUACACACCACAGGAAGAACAGCUAAUAAAAAAAGCAAGGGAGACAAAAACAAGGAUCCUGGUGGCAUAUGGAGCCAAAAAUAUAUCUCCCUCAGGCAGCCCAGUGGAGAGUUAUAAAAGCCCUGCAUGACUCUUUCCAUGUGGGGAGGGAUGCGGCUCUGGCCAUGGUAAACAAGUUCUUUACUGGGUUUAACUCAGCUUCAAUGGCUAAGCAGGUCUGUCAAGCCUGCUCACUGUGUGCAUUUAACAAUCCAGGCAUCAAAAUGCCCCCUCUAAUAAAACCAGUCCAAAGGAGGGGAACUUAUCCAGGGGAAGACUGGCAGUUAGACGUCAUCCAUAUGCCAGCUUGCAGAGGAUACAAGCUUUUGUUAAUACUAAUAGAUACUUUUAGGUUGGGUCAAAGGUUACCCCAGAAAAGGCUAAUGAGGUUCUAAGGUCCUCUUAAAAGAAAUAAUUCCCCAGUUUGGGUUACCUCAGGGUCUCCAAAGUGAUAAUGGCUAAUCCUUUAUCUCCCAAAUAACUCAAGGGGUUGCUAAGGCUCUUGGAAUAAAAUACUAUUUACAUUCAGCCUGGAGGCCCCAAUCCUCUGGAAAAGUGGAAAGGGUUAACCAAACUCUAAAAUAAGCACUAGCUAAACUAUGUCAGGAAACAUCAGAAACUUGGGUUAGCUUAUUGCUCACAGCCCUUUUAAGAAUUUGUAAUACCCCUAGCUCAAAAAUUAACAGAAGCCCAUAUAAAAUGUUAUACAGAAGGCCAUUCUUAACUAAUGAUUUAAUUAUUGACCCAGAAAGAGUUGGUGUAAUUAAAUACCUAGUCAACCCAGAACAAUUCCAGCGGGUUUACAAGAGUUUGGAAUUCAAAGGCUCCUCACACUUGGAACUAACCAGCAACCCAAAAUCAGGCCAGGAGAUAGGGUACUUGUUAAAACAUGGAAUGAGGGAUCACCUGCCCAACAAUUACAACCCCAAUAGAAGGGACUUUUUUCAGUAAUACUGGCCACGUCUUCUGUGGUCAAAGUACUAGUAUUAGAUAGCUGGAUACAUCUUUCAAGGAUCAAACCAUCAAUACCAGAAGCUCCAGACCAGGAACCUGAAGUUCCCAUCAGCCAGUACACCUGUGAACCAGUGGAGGACCUGAAGUACCUGUUUAAAAGAUAGCCAAAAGAUAAGUAAAUGCCUACCAACUUUCUUUGGUGUCUUUGUUGCAUAGUUACUGUGGGCUGGAAAAUAGUAGCCAUUUUUAUCUUUGCAGUUUAAUUGCCUUCUUCCAAAUAGAUAAAAAUCACUUCCUUUGUAAUAAUUAAACAGAAUUUAAAAAAUACAUUUCUAUGACAAAUAUUCCUGAUGGCAUAAGUAUCCACCCCAAGGUUCCCAUUAAAUCUUUUAACCUAAAGUAUUUCCUCUCACCUAGAGAUCAUCGAGCUGUGUGACAAGGGUGCCAGCCACUCCAGGUGAAGACACCACCCCAGGCCAUCAAGGAUCUUCCCUACCUUCACUAAACAGAGCAGGGUGAAAGUUGUGUGAUCCCCAAUAGGUAGGGACUACACCCCAAGUCAGCAGGAAGCAGUUACAGAAGAAAGACCAUUGGUCCCUCUGCUUCCCAUAAAGAUUUAUGGGGAUCACAGCUUUCACGGGGGAGAUGAGGCAAGAGAAUAGGGCAUGCAGGCAGGGUACUUGAGGCCAAUCCACGCUGACUUCCUAGAACUGAAUUAAAUGAAAGCUCCUCAGCAAUGACAGGAAUGUGAAUGGCUUUGUAACUUCUUCCUCUCCAUUAAUGCUAUUUCCACUUUGUAACUUCACUUUCAUCCUCUCCAUUUACAUAGAUCACACACCAAGUAACAUCCUCUCCAUUUACAGUAGGGCGCAUUCCGAGUCAAUGACUCUGACUGCACUUCGUUCUCCUCAUUUACAUAGAACAUUCGCCAAGUAACCAAUGGGAAACCUCUAGAGUAUUGAAACUCCAGAAAAUUCCGUAAGUGGGGCUCUUGAGCGUCUACACUCGGGUCGCUCCCACACUGUGGCGUGUACUUUUAUUCUCAAUAAAUUCCCGCUUUUGCUUUCCUCGUUCUGUUUGAGUGUUUUGUCCAAUUCUUUGUUUGAGGCGCCAAGAACCUGGACACCUUCUACCAGUGACACUACCAAUUUUUGAUUCCAUUAAAGAUCACAGGUAUUUUCUGAACAUUUACCCUGUACCAGUCUUGCAGGGUCCAAACUCCUGUUAAAGAGCUUGUGGGCUAAUGGAGGGAGCAGGCAUGUGAACAAGCAAAUUAUGAAAUAGCGUGCAGAGUACAGCAGUAGAGAUGUAUUCUAGGAUCAGAGGUCACACAGAGGAGGGGUGCCUGAUUAACUGUGCAGGGAGAC
rnacentral:lncRNA from 1 species